rnacentral:rRNA from 1 species
UACGAAGGGGGCUAGCGUUGUUCGGAAUCACUGGGCGUAAAGGGCGCGUAGGCGGCUUUAUAAGUCGGGGGUGAAAGCCUGUGGCUCAACCACAGAAUUGCCUUCGAUACUGUAGAGCUUGAGACCGGAAGAGGUAAGUGGAACUGCGAGUGUAGAGGUGAAAUUCGUAGAUAUUCGCAAGAACACCAGUGGCGAAGGGCG